rnacentral:rRNA from 1 species
GACGAACCGUGCGAACGUUAUUCGGAAUCACUGGGCUUAAAGCGCGUGUAGGCGGGAGGGCACGUCCGUCGCUGAAAUCCCCCGGCUCAACCGGGGAACGGGCGCUGAUACGACCUUCCUUGAGGGGCGUAGGGGGACCUGGAACUUCCGGUGGAGCGGUGAAAUGCGUUGAGAUCGGAAGGAACGCCCGUGGCGAAAGCGAGGUCCUGGACGCCUACUGACGCUGAGACGCGAAAGCCAGGGGAGCGAACGGG